rnacentral:rRNA from 1 species
UACAGAGGGUGCGAGCGUUAAUCGGAAUUACUGGGCGUAAAGCGUGCGUAGACGGCUAUCUAAGUCGGGUGUGAAAGCCCCGGGCUCAACCUGGGAAUUGCAUUCGAGACUGAAUAGCUAGGGUGCGGUAGAGGGAAGCGGAAUUUCCGGUGUAGCGGUGAAAUGCGUAGAUAUGCGGAGGAACACCGAUGGCGAAGGCAAUCCCCUGGGCCUGCACUGACGCUCAUGCACGAAAGCGUGGGGAGCAAACAGG